CCUACGGGAGGCAGCAGUGAGGAAUAUUGGUCAAUGGGCUGGAGCCUGAACCAGCCAAGUCGCGUGAGGGAAGACUGUCCUAUGGGUUGUAAACCUCUUUAGGCAGGGAGCAACGCCGGCCACGGGUGGCCGGAGGGAGAGUACCUGCAGAAAAAGCAUCGGCUAACUCCGUGCCAGCAGCCGCGGUAAUACGGAGGAUGCGAGCGUUAGCCGGAUUGAUUGGGUUUAAAGGGUGCGUAGGCGGAAUUCUAAUUCGGCGGUAAAAUCGCGGGGCUCAACCCGGCCCGUCCGUUGAAACUGGCGUUCUUGAGUGGGCGAGAAGUAUGCGGAAGGCGUGGUGUAGCGGUGAAAUGCGUAGAUAUCACGCAGAACUCCGAGUGCGAAGGCAGCAUACCGGCGCCCAACUGACGCUGAGGCACGAAAGCGUGGGGAUCGAACAGGAUUAGAUACCCUAGUAGUC
rnacentral:rRNA from 1 species